rnacentral:ncRNA from 2 species
GGUCACGAGUGACAGCGACGAAGGCCCCGGCCCGCUGUCCGGCAACCCUCCUUCCGUGGCGGGGUGCCCCGGGUGAUGACCGGGUCGCGGACGCGCAAGGUCCGCGGCAAGCGCGGAUC